rnacentral:rRNA from 1 species
UACGUAGGGUGCAAGCGUUAAUCGGAAUUACUGGGCGUAAAGCGUGCGCAGGCGGUGAUGUAAGACAGGUGUGAAAUCCCCGGGCUCAACUUGGGAACUGCAUUUGUGACUGCAUCGCUGGAGUGCGGCAGAGGGGGAUGGAAUUCCGCGUGUAGCAGUGAAAUGCGUAGAUAUCAGGAGGAACACCGAUGGCAAAGGCAGGUCUCUGGGCUGACACUGACGCUCAUGCACGAAAGCGUGGGGAGCAAACAGG